rnacentral:rRNA from 1 species
GACGAACGCUGGCGGCGUGCCUAAUACAUGCAAGUCGAACGCAGUGGGGACGGGUGAGUAACAAGUGGGUAACCUCCCAUCAGAGGGGAUAACACUUGGAAACAGGUGCUAAACCGAUACUGAUGGAUGGACCCGCGGUGCAUUAGCUAGUGGGUGGGGUAACGGCUCACCAAGGCCACGAUGCAUAGCUGGGCUGAGAGGAUGAUCGGACACACUGGGACUGAGACACGGCCCAGACUCCUACGGGAGGCAGCAGUAGGGAAUAUUCGACAAUGGGCGAAAGCCUGACCCAGCCACGCCGCGUGAGUGAAGAAGGUUUUCGGAUUGUAAAACUCUGUUGUUAGGGAAGCGUUAUCUAACGAGAAAGCAACGGCUAACUACGUGCCAGCAGCCGCGGUAAUUC